GUGCUGGCUUUGGCAGCACAUAUACUAAAAUUAGAAUGAUACCAAGAAGAGUAGUAUGGCCUGUGCUCAAGGAUGGCAUGAAAAUUAAUGUAGUGUUCUAUAUUUAA